rnacentral:lncRNA from 1 species
AAAAAUUUAAACGAUGUCCAUGUACCAUGAAAGAGAGUUUAAUAUAUAUUACUACAAAUGUAGAAUGUGUUUAGAAAUAUUAAAACAACACUAAAGAUCAUAGGCUUCAGUAUAUAGAGCAUUAACCGAAAAAUUCAAUAUUUUAUUAGGGGUUAACCCAGAGAUUUUGAGAAAAUUUCAAAAAUAUGAAAAUACUGAUUUAAUGCAUAGUUGCAUCUUUCACUAACAUAUGAUGAAGGUCAAAGAAGUUUGGAACUUUU